rnacentral:rRNA from 1 species
AACUUUCAACAACGGAUCUCUUGGUUCUGGCAUCGAUGAAAAACGCAGCGAAAUGCGAUAAGUAAUGUGAAUUGCAAAAUUCAGUGAAUCAUCAAAUCUUUGAACGCACAUUGCGCCCGCUGGAAUUCCAGCGGGCAUGCCUGUUCAAGCGUCAUUU